AACAGGAUUAGAUACCCUGGUAGUCCACGCCCUAAACGAUGAAUACUCGAUGUUGGCGAUAUACGGUCAGCGUCUAAGCGAAAGCGUUAAGUAUUCCACCUGGGGAGUACGCCCGCAAGGGUGAAACUCAAAGGAAUUGACGGGGGCCCGCACAAGCGGAGGAGCAUGUGGUUUAAUUCGAUGAUACGCGAGGAACCUUACCCGGGCUUGAAAGUUAGUGAAUGUACCAGAGACGGUACAGUCCUUCGGGACACGAAACUAGGUGCUGCAUGGCUGUCGUCAGCUCGUGCCGUGAGGUGUUGGGUUAAGUCCCGCAACGAGCGCAACCCCUAUGUUUAGUUGCCAGCACGUAAUGGUGGGGACUCUAAACAGACUGCCUACGCAAGUAGAGAGGAAGGAGGGGACGACGUCAAGUCAUCAUGGCCCUUACGUCCGGGGCUACACACGUGCUACAAUGGAUGGUACAGAGGGCUGCUACCUGGCAACAGGAUGCCAAUCUCUAAAAGCCAUUCACAGUUCGGAUCGGGGUCUGCAACUCGACCCCGUGAAGUUGGAUUCGCUAGUAAUCGCGUAUCAGCAAUGACGCGGUGAAUACGUUCCCGGGCCUUGUACACACCGCCCGUCAAGCCAUGGAAGCUGGGGGUACCUGAAGUAUGUAACCGCAAGGAGCGUCCUAGGGUAAAACCGGUAACUGGGGCUAAGUCGUAACAAGGUAACC
rnacentral:rRNA from 1 species